AGAAGCCGAAAAUCAUAUGUACAACUGCGCACAAACAAAUGGCCUCUGAAGAAGAUAACCAAACUUUGGUAUGAAAUUGGGUAGGGGCCGCGCGAACGCAGGCCCCCUCUACCACAAAUUAUGACGUAGGCUCCACCUAUAAGGUAGACCUUAGAUUAACACCCUUCCAAAGUGCAAUGGAAGUCAUCAACCUAGGCCAUGGGCCUUGCUGAUCACCCAUUGACCCCGUCCAGGUAAAUCAGAUCGGAAGAACGU